ACAGAGUGGAACCCUCAAGCUUGCCCGUGUGUGCACAUGGUCUUCUUCUUCCUUUUUUUUUUUUUAUCCUUUUCAAACUUUCGUUGCAAACUUCCUUUUCGUUGCAGACUUCCUUUUUCAUUUUUUAUCUUCUUCCCUUUCUCCAACAUUUUGCAGACUUCAUUUUCCAUCUUGGAUUUCUUUUUUCUCCACUGCAUCUCCAAUUGUGAGUCUUCGUUUUCCGUUACAUGCAUUCUUGCGUUCUUUUUUUCAAUUCCCUUCAGUUUCUUGGUUUCUUCACCGCAUUUUGCACUCUUUUUCUUUUUGUUUUCUCGUUUUCUUGAAGUUCAUCGUGAAAGGAGUGGGUUACGAGGAGAACCUGUUUUGCAUUGAAAUUUUCAAACUUAUCUUUCUGAAUGUGUUAUCAUUGAUACAAACAUAUCGGCCAUACUUGCAUAUUAUCUAUCCUUGAUAGCCGUUCUCAUCGAUAUAAAUGUAAUGCCACUGUUAUCAUUUUUUAUACGCUUGUUAUGCCCGAGUUUCUGUUUUACUUUUGCAUGAAUUAAUUUUAAAAUAUCAGCCAUAGCAAUGGAUAACACAUCUCUUAGAUAUUGAAACCUACCCUCAUAGCAAUUGAUAGGAAAUUAUUCAAAUUGAAAUUUAUGGCUAAUAGCAUCAAUCAGUGAUCGCCACUAGCAAGUGUAAUUAGUUACAAUCAAUUAUAACUUGCCCAAUUUGAAAAAACUGAAAAUAAGAGUGCGAAAUAAUGGUGGGUUGUAUGGGGAAUGAUCGUCAUUGUGGUCAAUGUUAACAUAUUUUCAAUUGUAAUGUUACAUAAUUACGUUAAUAUAACAAAAAUAAAAAAUCCAAAAUAUUUACAAUCCGUAUAAAAAAUAAGAAAAACUUGUGACGCAAGAUCAACUUUUUAUAAAUUUCAUAUAUGCUCUUGUGAUUUAUUUAUUUCUUUUUUUAUUUACUAAUCUUGGACAAUGUCAAUGCAAUUAAGACCCAAGAUUUAAUAACUAAGUCUUUUAUUUCGGCUUGGGACAAUAUAUGUCCAAGAUCGAAUAAAAUAAAAACAGAAAAUUUUCAUCUCAGACCAAGGUCGUGUAUUAAAAUCUAUUUAUUUAUUUCGGCAUGGUAUGUCCAAGGUCGUGUAUUAAAAUCUACACAAUCAUCUAUUGUACGCAUGUGGUCAAUUUAUCGCGUGUUGACUAAUGUAAUUUUGGUAAACAUUGUGGGUCUGUGAGCCUUUUUUAUUUUCAAAAUUAGUCUAUGCAUUGUAAAUAUUUUGCUUAUUUGUUAUAUUUUUUAAAAACGUUAUUUUUCGUAAGUAUAACAAGACACAAAAAUAUUUAUAGUACGGGUAACAAAAUAAAAAAACUCAUGAUAUUUUCACAAAUUUUAGGUUUGCUCUUGAAUAUUGCCGAUGAAUUUUCACUUUUUUUUCUUCUUUUUUAGGAUUUAUUGAUCUCAUGUUCGUAUUAUUAAUUUAUUUAUAUUAUAAUAACUUAUAGCAAUUGAAAGCUAAUAUUGCUUGGUGUUAAUAUUUCAAGGUUUUUGCAAUGAGGGGAAUUGGUGGAUUGAGUCGGGUUUUGGCAAAUAUUGAAAUGGUUUUAGAUGUGAAACUUCAAGGCAAAUUAGUUUUAUUUUCUUAAUAUUUCUCCAAUGGAAGGGUAUGGCUAAUAACAACUAACAGUGAUAAUGACGAGUGAUAAUGACGGAUAGCGCA
rnacentral:lncRNA from 1 species